rnacentral:tRNA from 1 species
GAGGGUAUAGCUCAGCUGUAGAGCGCAUGCUUAGCAUGCACGAGGUCCUGGGCUCAAUCCUCAGUGCCUCCA